UGUAUUAAGCGGAUUUUUCGCCAUAAGAACAUAUUUUAUACUCUCGCAACAUACUUGCUAGCAAUAAAGUUGCUACGAGAGUAUUAUAGUUUUGUCCACAUAACAGUUGGUUGUAUUUCCUAAAACAAAACGUGUUAGAUAUACGGUUAUGUAUAUCAAAAUGAUCACGGUGACGAGUAAAGUUCAAAUCCGGAUGUCUGUCUGUCCGUCCGUCAGUCCGAUCGUCCAUGCAAGCUGUAACUUAAGUAAAAAUUGAGAUAUCUUGAUGAAACUUAGAAGACGUAUUUCUUGGCACCAUAAGAAGGUUAAGUUCGAAGAUGGGCGUAAUCGGACCACUGCCACGUCCACAAAAUGGCAAUAACCGAAAACAUAUAAAAAGCUAUAACUCAGCCAUAAAUUAAGCUAUUGAAGUAAAAUUUGGUAUGAAAGAUCGCACUAUGAGGGGCAUAUGUGGAUGUAAUUUUUUUGGGGAAGUGGGCGUGGCCCCGCCCUUACUAAGUUUUUUAUACAUAUCUCGUAAACUGCUUGAGUUAUAUCAAGGAAACCUUCUAGAGUCGUUUCUUUUCAGUACUACCUUAUGCAGUCCAAAAAUGAAAGAAAUCGGAUCUAACCUCAUAACUUCGAUUUAUAAUAUCUUCCUAGCUUCCAAAUGAUAUGUUGUGAAAAUAGUCCAAAUCGGAUCACAACCAUGCCUACUUCCCACAGACCAGAACUUUGAAGUCGAUCUGAAUCGUGUUCUUUACAAUAUAUGUAUAAAUGUGUCAUCUACCUUCUUAAAAUCGUCGAAAUCGGACCAUAAAUUUUCAAGGCCCCAUAUAGCGAACAUGAAGACCUCAGUGGUUCUAAUUUUUUUUUCAGUUACACCCGAACUUAGCCCUUCCUUACUUGUUUUAAUUAAAUAUAUGAUGUCGAGAGCAACUACCUGGCUUCGGACCUGAGUUCAAUACCACACCUGGGCUUAGUCCCUAAUCCGAUAGUUCGACAGGAAUCGCUCUUCAGCAGAAUACAGCGAAACAUUGAGCGUAUGUCUGCCACGAACUAUACUCUUAAUUCUAAUAUAUGAGGAUGUCAUAAGAAUUCUAUAUAAAACUUUUGGUAGUAGAAAGAGAAUGCAUGCAAUUUAUACAGUUCAAAACUGAUUCGUAAUUCGUCUGUUAUGUAGUACAUGUAAACACUCAUCGUAGAACUGUGAAGUGUGUGUAAGUGAAAGAUUUAGAAAAUUCCGAAAAAAGAGCACGACUUUAAUAUCUUAUACCCUGUCAAAAAUUAACUUAGGUAAUUAUAUGUCGCUGUGAUAAGAACAUAAUACAGAUUUGAGCUUCUAACAAGCAUUCA